UAUGCCCAGCUCCAAGCUAAAGAAAGUGGUGGCCUACCAUCUGCCCAAACACUAGCGUUAGUAGCAUGACAAGAAAAUCUUCAUUUUAGAGACUUUUAGCAAAGGAGCACAAUCAAGUGUCUCCAAGCAAGUUGAAUAUGACAGAUAUGCACACAUAUGCAGCGUAAAACAAUCACAUUUAAGUCAAACUAUCAACGUUAGUGUAGAUAAGAAGCAGAGUGAUCAUUUACCUAUCAUUGUUGCAUGCUAUUAGCCUUUAGUUGUCAUUGUUACUUCUUUGGUUUGGCCUAGCAGGAAAACUGGAAACAUUGUCCGAAGCAUGAAGAUAGAGCUAACUCAGUUCAAUCUGGUGACGAGACUCCCGAAGAUCCAAUGGAGCAUGUAUUUGACAUUCAAUGGUGAGAAGAAGAUCUAUGCUGGUUCUUCAGUUACAAUGGCAGCUCUCCUUCUUCUUCUCAUGGCUUUUAUCCCGAAGCAUGGCCUGCCAAAAGCACAAAAGCUCCUAAACUUUGUGGUGCCCGGAUGUGUGCCAAAGUCAUUGUGGUUUUUAGAGAAAUACUUUCUUAAUUAUAAUGACAAAACAGAAAUUCAUUUUACUGUCCAAGAUGUACAAACUACCUCAGUGUUGAACCAGGUAAUGAGUGUGGGGUGUGCCAGCAGAGUUUGAACAUAUUGCCAAUUUCCAAUUAAAGCUAUGGUAAGCAUUUCACAAGAGAUGCCUCCAUUUCUGAUAUCAACACUGGAAGUGAAUACAGACGUGAGGCUCAGGAAGUCAACACUGACAGUAUUACUCUAACCUUUAAUUGUGAUGGCGCCCCUGUGUUCAAUUCAUCAAAAACUUCAAUUUGGCCCAUCUUGUGUACUAUCGAUGAAUUACCAUUUCUGGAUAGAUGUAAAAAUGUUCUAUUGCAUACAUUAUGGUUUGGCAAAGGGAAACCCAAGGUUCGAAGUUACUUCACCCCAUUCAUCCAUGAACUUCAAAAACUGAGGGACACAGGAUUUUAUUGGAAAGAGGAUAAUGGAUUAGAAGAACAUCACACCAGAGCAACAGCUAAAAUAUGUAUUUGUGAUGCAGUAGUAAGGGCAAUGGUACAGAACUUUAAACAGUUCAAUGGAUGUGGUUUUUGCUACCACAAAGGGGCGGUGGUACCAAAAGGCAGAGGUUUUACUAGAGUUUAUCCUGUACAGAUAGUUGGAUGUGAACUGAGAUAAAUGGCUGAAACUGUACAACUUGCCAAGUUAGUGAUGGAAAACGGUGAUGACAAAGCUCAAAGGGGUGUUAAAGGACCAAGUCCACUGAUCCUGUUGCCAUCAUUUGACCUUAUCAAAGGCUUUAUACCAGCCUACAUGAAUUGUUUUUGUCGUGGUGUAGUGCGCCAAUUUGUUAAUCUUUGGUUUGACCCUCAUUAUGCUAACAAGGACUUUCACUUGACUCGUCUUCAGUUAGAUGACCUGGACAAAGCUUUGUGUAAGAUUCAGCCACCAAAUGAAAUUAGAAGAAAUCCUAGGCGCUUAAGUGAGAGGAUACAUUUGAAAGCUUCUGAGUGGAGGGCAUUUGUUCUUCUCUAUUCCCCUGUAAUAUUAAGGACUGUUUUACCAGGACUUUACUACAAACAUUGGAUGCUUCGUGCAUGUGCGGUUCACAUCCUCCUAUCCCAGUUUGCCACUCACGAUGAGCUCAAUUGUGCAGAGUUAUGUCUUGUUCAAUUUGUAGCGAAAGAACCAGAUCGUUAUGGACCUGAACAUUUAUCAUAUAACUGCCAUAUGUUGACACAUCUUACCCAGAGUGCCAGGGACUGGGGUCUUUUAUGGGCCAAUUCAGCAUUUGUGUUUGAAGACAUGAAUGGCAAACUCUUGCAGCUGUACUCUGGCACACAAUCAGUUUCAUCACAGAUUUCUAAGAAUUGUUUUUCAUACCAGAAAGUUGUUAGAAAAGGAAAUGCUUUAGUCCAGGAUCAAGCAGAGAAGUACAAGAUUUUGUAUUUUCCCUGACCAGUUGUAACAUUGUUACGAAGUCAGCAAACUGCAUAAGGGAACAUUUAGUCACUUUAGGAUGGGCUCUCACAGACUGUUAAAUGUGAGGGAGAUUGCUGCACUGCAAAACAGUUGUACACCUACAAGGUACCAACAUCAUAAUAGUGUAACUGGAUAUAAGCAUUUUAAAAAAACACAAUUUAGUCACCACCAGAGACUACAGUAUGAAUUUCAAAAUAAAUAAUUCAGUAAUAGAAACCUCAAAUUGCUUUGGUAUGGUAGAGUCCUUGGUUGUUGUACCAACACCCUGCAACUGUGAAAGAGGUGCAAACUGUUGUUGCAGAGAACUUCUUGUUUUCUACAAGCCAUUGCAGCAGGAGCACAUACAGCCAGCUAUCUAUGAUGCAGAGAUCCAUACUAACAUUGCAAAAUUUCUUGUAAAGAUCUCCAAUGAAUUGUGUGUAUUGACAUGUGAGGACAUAGUAGCUAAAUGUAUUGUAAUUGAACAUGGGGGUAAGUUAUAUGUGAUGAAAAUGCCUGUGUUUAAGACAAAUUAAAUGUUUGGGGGUUAGCACAAACUGUUGAGUCUCAAUUUGCCUCCAGAUGUCCACACGGUAUUUGUGAUGAUUUAAAUGUGUUUUUCUUUAUGCUAUUAUUGUUUUUUUUAUAGGACUAUUGUACCAAUUGGAUAAAUGACCAGUUACCAUUUUAGGAAAAACUGAAUUUAUGAUGGCAGAUGUCUUGUAUUGUAUAUUGUUAUAUUGAAUACAUUUUGUAAUCCUCUUUGUUGUUAUCUAAACUCAAUGUUUGAUCGUUAACUGUAUUUUCUAAUGCAUGUGUGUUUGUGUCUGUGACUGGGUAAAUCUGUAUGGAUAUUUCUAAAUAUGUGAGUAAAACGCCACAUUGAAGUGCU